rnacentral:rRNA from 1 species
AUUGAACGCUGGCGGCAUGCUUUACACGUGCAAGUCGAACGGUAACAGGGUGCUUGCACCGCUGACGAGUGGCGAACGGGUGAGUAAUGCGUCGGAACGUGCCGAGUAGUGGGGGAUAACGCAGCGAAAGUUGUGCUAAUACCGCAUACGUACUGAGGUAGAAAGUGGGGGACCUUCGGGCCUACCGCUAUUCGAGCGGCCGACGUCGGAUUAGCUGGUAGGUAAGGUAAAGGCUCACCUAGGCGACGAUCAGUAGCGGGUCUGAGAGGAUGAUCCGCCACACUGGGACUGUGACACGGCCCAGACUCCUACGGGUGGCAGCAGUGGGGAAUUUUGGACAAUGGGCGAAAGCCUGAUCCAGCCAUGCCGCGUGUCUGAAGAAGGCCUUCGGGUUGUAAAGGACUUUUGUCAGGGAGGAAAUCCCUAGUGCUAAUAACACUGGGGGAUGACAGUACCUGAAGAAUAAGCACCGGCUAACUACGUGCCAGCCGCCGCAGUAA